rnacentral:rRNA from 1 species
CGAGGGGCAGCAUUUUAGUUUGCUUGCAAACUGAAGAUGGCGACCGGCGCACGGGUGAGUAACACGUAUCCAACCUGCCGAUAACUCCGGAAUAGCCUUUCGAAAGAAAGAUUAAUACCGGAUAGCAUACGAAUAUCGCAUGAUAUUUUUAUUAAAGAAUUUCGGUUAUCGAUGGGGAUGCGUUCCAUUAGUUUGUUGGCGGGGUAACGGCCCACCAAGACUACGAUGGAUAGGGGUUCUGAGAGGAAGGUCCCCCACAUUGGAACUGAGACACGGUCCAAACUCCUACGGGAGGCAGCAGUGAGGAAUAUUGGUCAAUGGGCGAGAGCCUGAACCAGCCAAGUAGCGUGAAGGAUGAAGGCUCUAUGGGUCGUAAACUUCUUUUAUAUGGGAAUAAAGUUUUCCACGUGUGGAAUUUUGUAUGUACCAUAUGAAUAAGGAUCGGCUAACUCCGUGCCAGCAGCCGCGGUAAUACGGAGGAUCCGAGCGUUAUCCGGAUUUAUUGGGUUUAAAGGGAGCGUAGGUGGAUUGUUAAGUCAGUUGUGAAAGUUUGCGGCUCAACCGUAAAAUUGCAGUUGAAACUGGCAGUCUUGAGUACAGUAGAGGUGGGCGGAAUUCGUGGUGUAGCGGUGAAAUGCUUAGAUAUCACGAAGAACUCCGAUUGCGAAGGCAGCUCACUAGACUGUUACUGACACUGAUGCUCGAAAGUGUGGGUAUCAAACA